rnacentral:rRNA from 1 species
GACGAACGCUGGCGGCGUGCCUAAUACAUGCAAGUAGAACGCACAGUUUAUACCGUAGCUUGCUACACCAUAGACUGUGAGUUGCGAACGGGUGAGUAACGCGUAGGUAACCUGCCUGGUAGCGGGGGAUAACUAUUGGAAACGAUAGCUAAUACCGCAUAAUAUUGAUUAUUGCAUGAUAAUUGAUUGAAAGAUGCUAUUGCAUCACUACCAGAUGGACCUGCGUUGUAUUAGCUAGUAGGGUAGGUAACGGCUCACCUAGGCGACGAUACAUAGCCGACCUGAGAGGGUGAUCGGCCACACUGGGACUGAGACACGGCCCAGACUCCUACGGGAGGCAGCAGUAGGGAAUCUUCGGCAAUGGACGAAAGUCUGACCGAGCAACGCCGCGUGAGUGAAGAAGGUUUUCGGAUCGUAAAGCUCUGUUGUAAGAGAAGAACGGGUGUGAGAGUGGAAAGUUCACACUGUGACGGUAUCUUACCAGAAAGGGACGGCUAACUACGUG